AGGGGUGGGCAAAAUCGGAUUCGGGUCGGGUUCGGGUUAAUCCGAUCGGGUUUCGGGUUGUUCGGGUUGGACAAAUAUUAAUCCGAAUAUAACCCGAUCUUACAACCCGAUCCGAUCCGAUCCGAUAUAUAUUCGGGUCGGAUCGGAUCGGGUCAAAAAAUCGGGUUGAACUCGGGUAGAAUCGGGUUAGGGUUAACAAAUCGGAUUGAGUUUGGGUUAUUUAAGUUCUAAUCGGGUUGGGUGAAAGCUUCAAAAUUAACGCUAAUUAUAUACUAUGAAAUGAAAGCUUCAAAAUCAAAAGUCACAAAGGGCAAAAACUUGGGUCGGGUACUCGGGUUGGAGGCUUGGCCUUGGAGCAGCAGAUCACGGACGGGUUUUCAGCAGCAGAUCGGUGGCAGUUGGCGGCAGCAGAUGGGCGGACGUGCAACGGCAGAUCGCAGAAGGCUGGACGCGCAGCGUCGGGGACUGGUCGAAGUUCGGAGAGACAGGAAUAGAUCGCAGCACUGGAGGUGGAGCGUGUGUGGCCUCUGUUGGCAGUGGCCGUUGGGAGUCGGUAGAUCGCGGCACUGCUCUGUGUGUGUGUGUGUCUUGUGAGUUUUGUACUUUUGUUUGUGUGUUCUGUGUUUGUGAUUUCUUCAAUGAAUCACAUGUUGUGAAUCUGUUCUACUGUGACUAUGUGAUUGUGAUUUGUGUGUGGUGUGCGUGCGUUUAGGUUUAGGUUUAGAUUUUUUUUUUUUUUUUUAAGCAACCCGAUCGGGUUUUCGGAUCGGGUCGGAUAUAACCCGAUCCGAUCACAACCCGAUCGGGUUUACAAUUUAUCAUCCGAUCGGGUUAUAUUCGCAACCCGAUCCGAUCCGAACCCGAUAUUUUUCGGGUCGGAUCGGGUCGGG
rnacentral:lncRNA from 1 species